rnacentral:lncRNA from 1 species
UAGAGUGAGGUGCUGAACUUUUCAGUGAUUGUAAUCUGCAUAAUUUCACCGUAGAGGGCCAUUUUUUAAUCAGUUACUUUUAUUGUUUUUUAUUUUUUUUUUUCUUCAUAAAUUUCUUUUUUUAAUUAAUAUCUUUUGCAUAUGAACGUGGAUUUUAAUAAUUUUUGCGCUAUAUAGUUUUUCAAAGAUAAUUAAAACAAGCAUAGUUAUGAUAUAGUGUCA